rnacentral:rRNA from 1 species
GACGAACGCUGGCGGCGUGCCUAAUACAUGCAAGUCGAACGGAAAGGCCAUGCGUUUGUGGGGUGCUCGAGUGGCGAAGGGGUGAGUGAAACGCGUGUAACCCCCCCUUAUAUUAGGGGUAACUCUGGGAAACAGGGGCAAUAACCGCAUAGAAUAUCUUGCGCCGCAGGGGGGGGUGGAAGAUUUCGGCCGUGGGGGAUGUACUCGGGGGUUACCCGCUUGUUGGUGGGGUAGUGGCUGUCAAAGGCUUUGACGGGUAGCCGGCCUGAGAGGGUGACCGGCCACAUUGGGACUGAGAUACGGCCCAGACUCCUACGGGCGGCAGCAGUGGGGAAUAUUGCACAACGGGCGGAAGCCUGAUGCAGCAACGCCGCGUGCGGGAUGACGGCCUUCGGGUUGUAAACCGCUUUCGCCUGUGACGAAGCGUGAGUGACGGUAAUGGGUAAAGAAGCACCGGCUAACUACGUG